GGGCGAGUCGGGCCUGCGGGCGACGCGAGGCCGCGCGGGGGGCGCCGCUGCCCCAGGUCGCGAGGGAGGAGGGGGGCGCCCUGGGGGACGCGGCCGCCGCGGAGGCCCGAAAGCCUCGGUGCCCGGCCUCUGACCGCCCCGCAGCCGCAUCUGGAGCCAGUCGCGCCCCCAGACCCUCGUCUCGUUUUCAUUUCCCAGCAAAGUGUGUGCGGUUGCGUGGUGGUCACGGAGAAGCGAGACCCAGAGGCCCCGCCCUGGAUGGGAUUCAUAAUUGGAAAGAAAAAAAAAAAAAAGUUUUUCCUCCUGGGAUCGCAGGCGCUCGCCUUGCCUUUCUGGACUCCCCGCCGCGCCCACGAGCCCCCCAGGCUGCCUUCAUUCUCCGCCUAACUUGAGGCCCUUCAGCGCACACGUAGCACACCCCUCUGUCCCAAGUGCUCAAAGUCGGGGCGUCGCGUGGUGUGCUUAGUUGUUUAGUCCUCUGUCACGCUAAUACGUUGUGUCGAUCUAGGGCACGGACGCUUCCUCGCAGGCGAUUUUGACAGCAAUCAUCCUACCAAGCUAUUAUGAAGUGUGAUGUCAGUGCGUUCUGCAGGACGGAUAAUGUAUAAGCCAGAUCUUGACACGCUAUCUUACAAGGAAGCAGCUGAGACCAUCAGUCCUUUCAAGCACGGAUCGCAGUGCCCAGUGGUCAAUACCCUUACUUUUAUCCAGUGUCUGCUUCAUUUAAACUUAAUCAACUCCAUCAACGAACUGGAACAGGGAAACGUCCCUGCGGCUUCUAAUGUGAGGAAAAACACGGAAUGACAAGUGUGGGAAAGAGCAAGCACUAAAUUACUGUCAGAAAAAUAAACGGAGUAGCACAGUGGUGCUCGGUGAUUUA
rnacentral:lncRNA from 12 species